rnacentral:rRNA from 1 species
GAAAUGCGAUAAGUAAUGUGAAUUGCAGAAUUCAGUGAAUCAUCGAAUCUUUGAACGCACCUUGCGCUCCUUGGUAUUCCGAGGAGCAUGCCUGUUUGAGUGUCAUUGAAUCAUCAACCCCCACUUCCUUGUGGAGUCGGGUGCUUGGAUAUGGAGACUGCAGGCCCUCUUGGGUCAGCUUCUCUGAAAUGCAUUAGCAGAGCCCAUCCUGUGCAUCUGUGGCUUGGUGUGAUAGUAUCUACGCCUAGCGAUGUUGUGCAUUCGAAUCUGCUGCCAGUCGUCCACCUUCUCUGGACACUUAUUGACAAUUUGACCUCAAAUCAGGUAGGAUUACCCGCUGAACUUAA